CUUGGUCAUUUAGAGGAAGUAAAAGUCGUAACAAGGUCUCCGUUGGUGAACCAGCGGAGGGAUCAUUACAGAGUUGCAAAACUCCCACAAACCAUCGCGAAUCUUACCCGUACGGUUGCCUCGGCGCUGGCGGUCCGGAAGGCCCUCGGGCCCCCGGAUCCUCGGGUCUCCCGCUCGCGGGAGGCUGCCCGCCGGAGUGCCGAAACCAAACUCUUGAUAUUUUAUGUCUCUCUGAGUAAACUUUUAAAUAAGUCAAAACUUUCAACAACGGAUCUCUUGGUUCUGGCAUCGAUGAAGAACGCAGCGAAAUGCGAUAAGUAAUGUGAAUUGCAGAAUUCAGUGAAUCAUCGAAUCUUUGAACGCACAUUGCGCUCGCCAGUAUUCUGGCGAGCAUGCCUGUUCGAGCGUCAUUUCAACCAUCAAGCUCUGCUUGCGUUGGGGAUCCGCGGCUGCCCGCGGUCCCUCAAAAACAGUGGCGGGCUCGCUAGUCACACCGAGCGUAGUAACUCUACAUCGCUAUGGUCGUGCGGCGGGUUCUUGCCGUAAAACCCCCCAAUUUCUAAGGUUGACCUCGGAUCAGGUAGGAAUACCCGCUGAACUUAAGCAUAUCAAUAAGCGGAGGAAAAGAAACCAACAGGGAUUGCCCUAGUAACGGCGAGUGAAGCGGCAACAGCUCAAAUUUGAAAUCUGGCUUCGGCCCGAGUUGUAAUUUGUAGAGGAAGCUUUUGGUGAGGCACCUUCUGAGUCCCCUGGAACGGGGCGCCAUAGAGGGUGAGAGCCCCGUAUAGUCGGAUGCCGAUCCAAUGUAAAGCUCCUUCGACGAGUCGAGUAGUUUGGGAAUGCUGCUCAAAAUGGGAGGUAAAUUUCUUCUAAAGCUAAAUACCGGCCAGAGACCGAUAGCGCACAAGUAGAGUGAUCGAAAGAUGAAAAGCACUUUGAAAAGAGGGUUAAAUAGCACGUGAAAUUGUUGAAAGGGAAGCGUUUGUGACCAGACUUGCGCCGUUCCGAUCAUCCGGUGUUCUCACCUGUGCACUCGGGACGGCUCAGGCCAGCAUCGGUUUUGGCGGGGGGACAAAGGUCCUGGGAACGUAGCUCCUCCGGGAGUGUUAUAGCCCAGGGCGUAAUGCCCUCGCCGGGACCGAGGUUCGCGCAUCUGCAAGGAUGCUGGCGUAAUGGUCAUCAACGACCCGUCUUGAAACACGGACC
rnacentral:rRNA from 1 species